UGUCGCUGUCUUUCUUGGACGUUUCCUCCCUAAACUCGGCGGUGCUUCGGCACCGCCUUUUUUUUGCCCGCG
rfam:Roseomonas cervicalis ATCC 49957 contig00111, whole genome shotgun sequence.